AAUCCAUAGGUUAAUGAGGCGAACCGGGGGAACUGAAACAUCUAAGUACCCCGAGGAAAAGAAAUCAACCGAGAUUCCCCCAGUAGCGGCGAGCGAACGGGGAGGAGCCCAGAGCCUGAAUCAGCAUGUGUGUUAGUGGAAGCGUCUGGAAAGGCGCGCGAUACAGGGUGACAGCCCCGUACACAAAAGCGCAUGUGCUGUGAGCUCGAUGAGUAGGGCGGGACACGUGGUAUCCUGUCUGAAUAUGGGGGGACCAUCCUCCAAGGCUAAAUACUCCUGACUGACCGAUAGUGAACCAGUACCGUGAGGGAAAGGCGAAAAGAACCCCGGCGAGGGGAGUGAAAAAGAACCUGAAACCGUGUACGUACAAGCAGUGGGAGCACAGGUUUACCUGUGUGACUGCGUACCUUUUGUAUAAUGGGUCAGCGACUUAUAUUCUGUAGCAAGGUUAACCGUAUAGGGGAGCCGUAGGGAAACCGAGUCUUAACCGGGCGUUAAGUUGCAGGGUAUAGACCCGAAACCCGGUGAUCUAGCCAUGGGCAGGUUGAAGGUUGGGUAACACUAACUGGAGGACCGAACCGACUAAUGUUGAAAAAUUAGCGGAUGACCUGUGGCUGGGGGUGAAAGGCCAAUCAAACCGGGAGAUAGCUGGUUCUCCCCGAAAGCUAUUUAGGUAGCGCCUCGUGAAUUCAUCUCCGGGGGUAGAGCACUGUUUCGGCUAGGGGGCCAUCCCGGCUUACCAACCCGAUGCAAACUGCGAAUACCGGAGAAUGUUAUCACGGGAGACACACGGCGGGUGCUAACGUCCGUCGUGAAGAGGGAAACAACCCAGACCGCCAGCUAAGGUCCCAAAGUCAUGGUUAAGUGGGAAACGAUGUGGGAAGGCCCAGACAGCCAGGAUGUUGGCUUAGAAGCAGCCAUCAUUUAAAGAAAGCGUAAUAGCUCACUGGUCGAGUCGGCCUGCGCGGAAGAUGUAACGGGGCUAAACCAU
rnacentral:rRNA from 8 species